CCAGCAAUAUGAAUAUGGCUAAACCAGGUUACUUGUCUGACAAAUACAGAGCCAAGAAACAAGGUCCCAAAAGACACAGCCAGCAAGUUCCCACCCAGUUGAUGCACCAGAUAGCAGAUGUAUCACUGAAUGCCAUGAGGCUGGCAGGAAAAGCCAUAGAAACAAACUCAGUGCCCAGGAACCAGCACUGACUCCAACCAUGGAUAUCAGCUGAAAUCAUCUUACCUGCAUCAAGCCUGAAGCUUUAAAUAGUUCCUGUGGAGAUCUGGUCCCAUAAAUAUUUGGAGAACGGA